rnacentral:rRNA from 1 species
AGCCUGAUGCAGCGACGCCGCGUGAGGGAUGACGGCCUUCGGGUUGUAAACCUUUUUCAGCAGGGAAGAAGCCACAAGUGACGGUACCUGCAGAAGAAGCGCCGGCUAACUACGUGCCAGCAGCCGCGGUAAUACGUAGGGCGCAAGCGUUGUCCGGAAUUAUUGGGCGUAAAGAGCUCGUAGGCGGUUUGUCGCGUCUGCUGUGAAAGCCCGGGGCUCAACCCCGGGUCUGCAGUGGGUACGGGCAGACUAGAGUGCAGUAGGGGAGACUGGAAUUCCUGGUGUAGCGGUGAAAUGCGCAGAUAUCAGGAGGAACACCGAUGGCGAAGGCAGGUCUCUGGGCUGUUACUGACGCUGAGGAGCGAAAGCAUGGGGAGCGAACAGGAUUAGAUACCCUGGUAGUCCAUGCCGUAAACGUUGGGCACUAGGUGUGGGGGACAUUCCACGUUCUCCGCGCCGUAGCUAACGCAUUAAGUGCCCCGCCUGGGGAGUACGGCCGCAAGGCUAAAACUCAAAUGAAUUGACGGGG